AAAACCCAGAGGAAAAUCAGCGGGGUAAUGUAUAGGUCAAAAAGGCAGAGGACUUUUUAAAAAGAGAUACAGAUGAACCUUGCUGAGUUACUGGAAGCUAACUAUAAGUGUAUGAUUCCUUGUAUUUGCUCAUGGAUAUCUGUUCUUUUUCUUCUUUCUGGUCUAAGUCUCCACAUGUAAUGAAUUCAUCCAUUGGAGAAAAAUAAUCUGUUUACGUUCCCA
rnacentral:misc_RNA from 1 species